rnacentral:rRNA from 1 species
AUUGAACGCUGGCGGCAUGCCUUACACAUGCAAGUCGAACGGCAGCACGGGAGCAAUCCUGGUGGCGAGUGGCGAACGGGUGAGUAAAGUAUCGGAACGUGCCCAGUCGUGGGGGAUAACGUAGCGAAAGUUACGCUAAUACCGCAUACGAUCUAUGGAUGAAAGCGGGGGAUCGCAAGACCUCGCGCGAUUGGAGCGGCCGAUAUCAGAUUAGGUAGUUGGUGGGGUAAAGGCUCACCAAGCCGACGAUCUGUAGCGGGUCUGAGAGGACGACCAGCCACACUGGGACUGAGACACGGCCCAGACUCCUACGGGGGGCAGCAGUGGGGAAUUUUGGACAAUGGGCGCAAGCCUGAUACAGCCAUGCCGCGUGCAGGAUGAAGGCCUUCGGGUUGUAAACUGCUUUUGUACGGAACGAAAAGGUUUGACUUAAUACGUUGGACUCAUGACGGUACCGUAAGAAUAAGCACCGGCUAACUACGUGCCAGCCGCCGCGGUAA